GCGGGAGCGAGCUGAUCCCUUCGGGGUGACGCUCGUGGAACGAGCGGCGGACGGGUGAGUAACACGUGGGCAACCUGCCUGUAAGAUCGGGAUAACUCCGGGAAACCGGGGCUAAUACCGGGUAAUACUUUCUUUCGCAUGAAGGAAAGUUGAAAGAUGGCUUCUCGCUAUCACUUACAGAUGGGCCCGCGGCGCAUUAGCUAGUUGGUGAGGUAACGGCUCACCAAGGCGACGAUGCGUAGCCGACCUGAGAGGGUGAUCGGCCACACUGGGACUGAGACACGGCCCAGACUCCUACGGGAGGCAGCAGUAGGGAAUCUUCCGCAAUGGACGAAAGUCUGACGGAGCAACGCCGCGUGAACGAUGAAGGUCUUCGGAUCGUAAAGUUCUGUUGUUAGGGAAGAACAAGUACCGUGCGAAUAGAGCGGUACCUUGACGGUACCUAACGAGGAAGCCCCGGCUAACUACGUGCCAGCAGCCGCGGUAAUACGUAGGGGGCAAGCGUUGUCCGGAAUUAUUGGGCGUAAAGCGCGCGCAGGCGGUUCCUUAAGUCUGAUGUGAAAGCCCACGGCUCAACCGUGGAGGGUCAUUGGAAACUGGGGAACUUGAGGACAGAAGAGGAGAGUGGAAUUCCACGUGUAGCGGUGAAAUGCGUAGAUAUGUGGAGGAACACCAGUGGCGAAGGCGACUCUCUGGUCUGUUUCUGACGCUGAGGUGCGAAAGCGUGGGUAGCAAACAGGAUUAGAUACCCUGGUAGUCCACGCCGUAAACGAUGAGUGCUAGGUGUUAGGGGGCUUCCACCCCCUU
rnacentral:rRNA from 1 species